rnacentral:rRNA from 1 species
UACGGAGGGGACUAGCGUUGUUCGGAAUUACUGGGCGUAAAGCGCACGUAGGCGGAUUUGUAAGUCAGGGGUGAAAUCCCGGGGCUCAACCUCGGAACUGCCUUUGAUACUGCAAAUCUCGAGUCCGGAAGAGGUGAGUGGAAUUCCUAGUGUAGAGGGUGAAAUUCGUAGAUAUUAGGAAGAACACCAGUGGCGAAGGCGGCUCACUGGUCCGGUACUGACGCUGAGGUGCGAAAGCGUGGGGAGCAAACAGG